rnacentral:tRNA from 1 species
GGGCUCGUGGUCUAACGGCAUGACGCUUCCUUCGCAGGGAAGAAACUUCGGGUUCAAGUCCCGACGAGUCCA